GGGGAUCCCUCCGCGCCGGCCCGGCCGGAUCUAUGGGAGGGGCGGGGAUGGCGGCGCCGCGGGCAUAGCACGGCGGGACGGAGAGAUGGGGGCGGGGACUACUUUAUGGCGGCGCAGGGAUCCCGGGAGGGAGGCGGCGCACCGCGGCUGUGAGCCCGGGACUGCGGUCGCCAUUAGGGCGGCGGGGCUGUGAGGGAGGUGGCGGUGUGAUGGCGGUGUGAUGGCAGCCGCUGCGCCUCAGUGCUUCCAGCCGGGUCACGUCGGGCUGACGGGAGGUGGGCGGCAGGCGGGGAUGCGGCGCUGAGCCAGCUCCAGCUCCAGCUCCGGGUGGAUGGUGGGACGCGCUGCCUUCUCUCUUCAAACCGCGCGUUUGUUUGUUUAUGUACGUAUGUGUGUAUGUAUGUAUGCAUGUACGUUUUCAGUGCUGUCUCAGAACACGCUUAAGGUCUUAAGGAUGAACAGCUGAGAGCACCUGCAGAGCGGGUGAGUGACCCAAGUGUAAAAAAACCCACCAAAAAGAGCAAAACGAAAAAGGCCUCAGUUGAAGUGGCAGCCAGGCCCCCUGUUCGCACACAGCACAGCCUGUGUUCUGCUGUGUCACAUCUCAGCCCUUCCUACCCAGCGCUCCCUGCCCGAGCUCUUCCAUGUCUUGCUCUUGCUAAGCAGUGUGAGCCGGAGUGAUGCAGCGAGGUUAGGGAGGAAUGAUGGAGUGUCUGUAACGCUUUAUGCCAGGGCUGCAGUGUGCUGUAGGUUGCCACGUCUGCAGGGAGCUGUCUGCUGAUGCUCGGCUGGAAAUCAGCCCAGGAGGGUCAGAUGCUGAACCUGUGAAGAAGAUCUGAUUAAUGGCACAAGCCACAGAAGACAGCAGAGCGUUCGAGCCAAAGCCUUCAGAAGAUACAACUUGAGCCUCUUUUUGUCACCUCCCAAACCAGAACCAUUAAAAGUUAUAAAUACUAAUGUUUCUACUGUCUGGAGAUUAUUUUUUUAUGAACGGGGCAGUUUUUGAACCUUGGAAGUGAAACAUUUCAUCCUGCAUCCAGAAUCAUAGUUUGACUGGAAGGCUGGAGUACGAAGUGAAUUGCUGCAGGGAGGAAAGGGAACUGAGGAAUGGAGAAAGGUCACAAAAGAGGAAGGUGUAGUUGCUUCCACUUUGUAACAGUGUUGCUAAAAGGCAUUAGCAGAAGUGGAAGAUCAAAGGGAAAUUGUAUUCACUGUACCCGAAGUAACUGAUCUUCUAAACCAUGCGGCUUCUGAGGUUGUUCCUCAGUGGGUUGAGGCCUCCUGUAGCCUUUGUUAGAGUAGGUUGUGAGAAUUCGUUGUUGCUCUGUGAUCAGGCUUGUGGGCUGAGAGCUGCUGCAAUCUGUGAAGAUGUCCUUGCACCGAGGGCUAAUGAGGAUGUUAACUGUGAGGAGGUACGUGGUGGGAAAGUGAGGACUGGAUAUUUAGAAUAAAAUUAUUUCUUAAACCA